rnacentral:rRNA from 1 species
UACAGAGGGGGCAAGCGUUGUUCGGAAUUACUGGGCGUAAAGGGCGCGUAGGCGGCCUGCUAAGUCGAACGUGAAAUCCCCGGGCUCAACCCGGGAACUGCGUCCGAUACUGACAGGCUUGAAUCCGGGAGAGGGAUGUGGAAUUCCAGGUGUAGCGGUGAAAUGCGUAGAUAUCUGGAGGAGCACCGGUGGCGAAGGCGGCAUCCUGGACCGGUAUUGACGCUGAUGCGCGAAAGCCAGGGGAGCAAACGGG